UUAUAUAGUUCAAAGUGCAGAACUCUGCCUGGCAAUUAGUGGCAGAAGGAGGAAACUAUGGUUAUCACUAGCAGAGAUGAAGUUGCAGCCACGCAGAAGCCGGGGUAUGACAGAGCAAGCGAGUUGAAGGCUUUUGAUAACACGAAAGCCGGUGUAAAAGGACUAGUGGAUGCUGGGGUUACUGAGAUUCCUCGUAUAUUCCAUCACCCACCGGAAAGCUUUGAAAAGGCCUCAGUAUCUGAUGACACCCAGGUCAGGACUAUUCCUGUCAUAGACCUCCAAGGCGUCAUCGACAACGAUGUCGCAAAACGUAAGGAGAUUGUUGAAAGAGUUGGAGCUGCAUCAGAGACAUGGGGUUUCUUUCAGGUGGUGAAUCAUGGGAUUCCUGUGAGUGUUCUGGAGGAGAUGGAGGCAGGUGUGCGUAGGUUUUAUGAACAAGAUACAGAGAUUAAGAAAGAAUUUUAUACCCGUGACCCCAUGAGACCGGUUGUGUACAACACCAACUUUGAUCUGUAUAGUGCCCCGGCCACCAAUUGGAGGGAUACUUUUCUUUGUCAAAUGGCUCCUAAUCCACCCAAGUCAGAAGAUCUUCCAGCCGCUUGCAGAGACAUACUGGAAGAGUACUCGAGGCAAGUGAUGAAGUUGGGGAUUUUACUGUUUGAGCUAUUAUCGGAGGCUCUUGGGCUUAACCCAAACCACCUAAAUGAUAUUGAUUGUACUGAGGGGCUUGCACUUCUGUGCCAUUGCUAUCCGGCUUGCCCACAACCAGAGUUAACAUUGGGCGCAAGCAAGCACUCUGAUAAUGACUUCCUCAGUGUGCUUCUACAAGACCAUAUUGGUGGCUUCCAAAUUUUUCAUCAGGACAAGUGGAUUGACGUCCCCCCCAUGCCAGGGGCUCUUGUGAUCAACAUUGGAGAUCUUCUACAGCUUAUAACAAACGAUAGGUUCAAAAGCGUUGAACACAGAGUAUUGGCGAACCGGGUAGGUCCGAGAGUGUCAGUGGCAAGUUUUUUUUUCACAGGUCUUCGGCCAACCACAAGAAUUUAUGGACCCAUCAAGGAGUUAUUAUCAGAAGACACUCCUCCAAAGUAUAGGGAAACUACAGUGAGAGACUACUCUGCAUAUUACAGGGGAAAGGGCCUUGAUGGGACUUCUGCGCUGACGCAUUUCAGGCUUUGAACUCAGAUAUAUAACAGACGAGUAAUGCAAUAUAUAAUUAUAUAUAAUUGAGAAGUGCGUAAGUAUCGAAUAAACAUCACAAAUAGAAUUCGAGUCUCUUAACUGAUCUCUUUUUACCCCACACCAUGAUGCAAAGCACGUUAGAACCAUUUAAGUAAUUCAUCAGAAAUUCAUGAUCAAACUAGAUAUGUCUGCUGAAUGAAAUGUGUAUUAUAUAUAUAUAUAUAUAUAUGAACAAGUA